CCCGCACAAGCGGAGGAACAUGUGGUUUAAUUCGAUGAUACGCGAGGAACCUUACCCGGGCUCGAACGGCAAGUGAAGAGAAUCAGAGAUGGUGACGCCCUUCGGGGCACUUGUCGAGGUGCUGCAUGGUUGUCGUCAGCUCGUGCCGUGAGGUGUCGGCUCAAGUGCCAUAACGAGCGCAACCCUUGCCAUUAGUUACCAGCAAUUCGGAUGGGGACUCUAGUGGGACUGCCACCGCAAGGUGAGAGGAAGGGGGGGAUGACGUCAAAUCAGCACGGCCCUUACGUCCGGGGCGACACACGUGUUACAAUGGUGGGUACAGAGGGAAGCCAUGUGGCGACACAGAGCGGAACCCAAAAACCCAUCUCAGUUCGGAUCGGAGUCUGCAACCCGACUCCGUGAAGCUGGAUUCGCUAGUAAUCGCGCAUCAGCCAUGGCGCGGUGAAUACGUUCCCGGGCCUUGUACACACCGCCCGUCAAGCCAUGAAAGCUGGGGGCGCCUGAAGUUCGUGACCGCGAGGAGCGACCUAGGGCGAAACCGGUAAUUGGGGCU
rnacentral:rRNA from 1 species